UACGAAGGGUGCAACCGUUGCUCGGAAUUAUUGGGCGUAAAGCGCACGUAGGCGGCUUAGCAAGUCGGAAGUGAAAUCCCACGGCUCAACCAUGGAAGUGCUUUCGAAACUGCUGAGCUUGAGUACGAAAGAGGAUCGCGGAAUUCCCGGUGUAGAGGUGAAAUUCGUAGAUAUCGGGAGGAACACCAGUGGCGAAGGCGGCGAUCUGGGUCGAUACUGACGCUGAGGUGCGAAAGCGUGGGGAGCAAACAGG
rnacentral:rRNA from 1 species